GUUAGUCCAAGUUUCCAUAGUCACAUAAUCCAUGACUAUUGAAAGACAGGAAGGUCAAUCUCGUUCCCCGAGCCUGCGAUCCUCGGGAAGGAACGCGAGGCUCUGGGAUAAUCCGUUUCAGGGAGGAAUCUGAUCGGCCAUUGAAAUGGAAUGCGUAGUUCAAUCUUAGCCAGGAUUCUUGGCUUCCGGUAACGGAUUAUCCCAGAGCCUUCGAUUCCUUCCCGAGGAUCGCAGGCUCGGGGAACGAGAUUGCAGGAAGGUAAGCAAACAAAAUAACUUUAUCCAUUUCACCCAAAUUCAUUUCUUUAUUGAACAACAUUUAGUUGUUUUAUAACAUACUUUGGUAUUAAUAUUUAAGAAGACCGAGUUACUGCGUAUAUAUUAGUUUCCCGCAGCCCAGAAACUUUGAUGGGGGUAAACCAGGCUUUACACCUGCAAUUUCUGCUGUGAUUUGAAGUCCGAAUUUCUUCUGAUGAGUGACGGAUGUGAACGAGUUAUGAAUGUUCAGUUGAGGGUUCAUAUAUACAGGGUGUAUAAAAAAAAACGGAGUCGUCCUAAAUAUCCUUAUUUCUAUCGUAAAGUAAACUACCAUAGUUUCGUUUUGUGCUCAAUUUAAAGCUUGUUUUUUCAUCUUUCGAGUGAAGGGUUUCUUGAAAAUUUUGAACUUAAGGCUAAUCGCAAUAAAAAGAAUUUAGUACAAGCGCUCGCUUUUAGAUGCUUCGAAAUAUUAAUCUUCGAAGUCCCCAAGGGACUUAAUUAAAGGUAGUUCGCUAAAAUUUAGAACGUUGUUAUUUAAAACUUUACAAUCACCAUUCAUAAUGCCAAAGCUAACAAUUCCGGAAAGAACAUUCAUUGUUGAAAAGUAUUUUGAAACAAAAAGCGUUGUUGCAGUGUUAAGACAAUUUCAAAUAGCUUUUCCAGGACGUAAUCUUCAUCAAGCGUUUGGCGUAAUGUCAACAAAUACCGGCUGCAUGCAUUGAGUGGAAGAACCACCCCAUAAAGUUUAAAUCGAAAUAAAGGAAACUCGGGAAGACUUGUCUUGGAUAUGAGACAAAGAACGAACUUGUGUGAACUUAGAAAUGGAGGCCACGUUGAGUAAAUGUGUACUUCCAACUUAUUUUUUGGAACGUUUAAAUAAAUUGUGAUAGAUGUCUAACUUUCAUAUUCGCUUUGAAAUUUACACUUCAUGUGAGGACUCCGUUUUUAUUGAUACACCCUGUCAGAACAUUCGUAACUCAUUUACUCGAAAAGAAAAUCGCAGCAAAAGUGUAAACGGCCUGUAGACCACCAUCUGCAUAGGGCAAUUCACUCCAGUUUAUAGUUGAACAAGCAAAAAAUCAAUGUCUUGUCACACACUGAGAUCAACAUCUAUCUGGAGCAAGAACUUCGGUCGUUGCCAUCGGGCC